GGACCAGUGGCGCAGUGGUUAGCGCAUCAGUCUUAUACUUGUUACAGCAGAUCCUGUAACAUAGCAUGACAUCUGGGGGUCCCGGGUUCAACCCCCGGUUGGUCCA
rfam:Coniochaeta ligniaria NRRL 30616 unplaced genomic scaffold CONLIGscaffold_7, whole genome shotgun sequence.